UAUGUACAACAUACUUGUAUAUUAUCCUGUUUCACGACAGCGCCAUUCCACUUAUUCUAGCGUUGAAUGGAACAAAAAAAUAUCCGUAGAAAGAAAAAUGAGUCGUCGUAAGUGAGAACUUGGAAAGAAGCGAAAUAACAAUCGCGAAAUUCGCCGAACAAAGUUUUACCACGACUCUUGGCUCUCAAAAACCUAUAAGCGCAUUAUACGUAUUACACCUCUAUGACAUCGGUUUUUUUUUUUUUUUUUUUUUUUUUUUUUUUUUUUUUUUUUUUUUUUUUUUUUUUUUUUUCUUUUCCUAAAAAAAAAAAAAAAAACAAACGGGUUCUCGUGUAAAAUGCAUGGCUUCUUGCCGUAUAUUCGAGAGGAUAUGCCCAAAGGGCCAUACACCCAUACAAAUCGGCGUGGAUAAUUUAUUAUGUACCAACUGAACGCGUGUCUCGUUCCGCAAUGACUCGAAAAAAAAAACAACAACGGAAUACUCGCUCAAUACCUCCGUAUACAUAGGUAUAGAAUACACGUAUUACAGUUAUGGCUUCAAUUAGUGAAGCUACUCAGCGUAGUGUCGAUGACAGUUUUCUAACUACCUACUUAAUACGAUCUUAUUUCUAACAGCAUAUAUAUACAUUUACAGUCGUCUCGUUGCGACAGUCGGUGUAUAUGAGUAUAGGUAUGUGUGCGCAUGCUGCAGUUAGCAUCACAAGGG
rnacentral:misc_RNA from 1 species